rnacentral:pre_miRNA from 1 species
GAGACACCCCUAUGAUGCAGGACUUGCUUCAGUGGGGCUUGGCUGCUCACUGAGUCUGCCCCUUGAGUGUGUCGCU